CAAUAGCGUAUAUUAAAGUUGUUGCAGUUAAAAAGCUCGUAGUUGGAUUUCUGGUUGAAGCGACCGGUCGGGCGUUGAUUCGUCUGCACUGGAGUCGGUUUUGGCCAUCCUCUAGGAAAGUGCGUCUGGUAUUAAGUUAUCGGGCGUAUGAUCCUGGUCUUUUACUGUGAAAAAAUUAGAGUGUUUAAAGCAGGCCUUCGCCUUGAAUACAUUAGCAUGGAAUAAUAAGAUAGGACUUUUGUCUAUUUUGUUGGUUUGCAGACCGAAGUAAUGAUUAAUAGGGAUAGUUGGGGGUAUUUAUAUUCCGAUGUCAGAGGUGAAAUUCUUAGAUUUUCGGAAGAUAAACUUAUGCGAAAGCAUUUACCAAGGAUGUUUUCAUUAA
rnacentral:rRNA from 1 species